CCCUCCCCAUCCAUGGCGGCCGCCACUACACCAAGACAAACGCUGGUAGCCGCCGCUGCAACCUCGCAAUCCAUAGCAUCUUCCCCUCUGCAUUUCGCAACCUCCGCAUUAGCAGCCGCCGCCACAUACUUUUCAUCCACGGCCAUCUUCUUCUCUGCAUCUCGCACCGACCAUCCGCCGCCGCGACGUUAGCCUCGUCUAGUAGGCGAGGACGCCCCUGAAGGCGGACCAGUGCACACGGCGCCGGUGCCAUUGCUAUGGACGGUACCUGGUGCAUCGAGUGACCUGGUCCCUCAUGGGCAUGCAGAAGCUAGAUGGGCCAGGUGCGUUGACUACAAGCGUCCUCGAGGUCCCGCUUCAGACUUGCCUGGUGAUUUUCUGUCGCAUAGGACUGGCGGGAUCCUCAGAUAGCUGUGAGCCGCAUGUCCCACCAGGUAAUACAGGUUCCAUGGACUCUUCAUCGAUGGAGACAAAUCUCUGGUUAGGACCAUGGUUCGAGGCAAGAUGGUUGCAAAAAUGGUGUCUCCCUCUGAUGAAUUUGACGAGUACGGCAGGGUCCAUGUCCACAAAGGCACAAGGAUUUAACCCUAGUUGGCGUAUGGCGAGCGCCGCCGGCGGUUGAGGAGCUGGAGAGUAGCUUAGUGUUCUCCAGGAGCUUUGCAAUUUUAUUUUUUUAGCAAUCUUUUUUGCUUUCUUUUUUGAGGGAAAGAUCUUGUUGCUUUGUACAGGUGUAUUUCCCUGUUAGUUUAUGUAACUUACAUUUUAUUUAAUGAAAUGAGCAUAUAUUUUUCUGACAAAA